CAAGAAGGGAUUUGGGAAAUUAUAGUAUAUAUCACCAUCACUUUUCCCUCAUUUUCUCCUAACUUCCAACACACCAAAAAUCCUUCUCUUUCCCCCUCUUAUAAUCGGCAGCCCCAAAACACCCCUACUUCCUCUUUUUCUAACAACUAAACACUCCAUUUUACUUAUAAAAUACCAAUACAAGAAGGUUUGAGGUGCUUUCAAACUUGGAGAGUCAUUAGGGACACUUUGGAGCUUCAUUAUCUUCUCUAAUAUUCAUCUUAAGCUUAUGCAAAAUUGUUGACUCGCGUUUACGGAACACGUUGCUAGAAUAUCUCUCUCUUAGGAACGCAAAACAGAAACUAAUGGGAUCUUGGUG